AAUAUUGGACAAUGGGCGAAAGCCUGAUCCAGCCAUGCCGCGCGUGUGAAGAAGGUCUUCGGAUUGUAAAGCACUUCAUGUUCGGAGGAGUGGUUGUAGGUUAAUACCCUGCAAUUUUGACGUCACCAACAGAAUAAGCACCCGCUAACUUCCUUCCAGCCGCCGCGGUAAUACGAAGGGUGCAAGCGUUAAUCGGAAUUACUGGGCGUAAAGCGCGCGUAGGUGGUUCGUUAAGUUGGAAGUGAAAGCCCCGGGCUUAACCUGGGAAUUGCUUUCAAAACUGACGAGCUAGAGUACGGUAGAGGGUAGUGGAAUUUCCUGUGUAGCGGUGAAAUGCGUAGAUAUAGGAAGGAACAUCAGUGGCGAAGGCGACUACCUGGACUGAUACUGACACUGAGGUGCGAAAGCGUGGGGAGCAAACAGG
rnacentral:rRNA from 1 species